ensembl:lncRNA
GCUGAAGCGGUCCCCGGGCCCUCCAGCGAAGACAGACGGAGGCCGAAGCGGCCCUCGGACCCUCCAGCGAUUGGACGAGCCCCCAUAUGUUACACCCCGGCCUAGGCAACCGGGGUGCAACGCAGAAAAAUAAAAAAAAGGAAAAUAAAAAUAAUCCCAAAACGAGAUUUAAAGCAAAACACCACAUUUAUUUACAUCACCAAACACCAGACGUCAAACUAUUUACAACGGGGGGGAGAUCGCGACCAUGACAUACAGAAACACAAGGCUUAAAUACAUAGAAGGAGCAAUCAGGGAAUGGACCACAGGAGGGAAACACAGCUGGGGCAAAUUAGAACUGACGAGACAGGGAAAAAUGUAAUCUGAACACACUAAGAUAACACAGACUUUCAAAGUAAAACAGGAAACACAUGACAGUUUGGUAAAAAACAAAACACUGACAACACCGAAACGUAACAUUUCCCCCCACCCAAAAAUCAAACAUGUAACCCCAAGUGAAAUGUUUGAUCAAACAAACGAAGGCUGAAACGAAGGCAGACGAAGCUGAUGGAGGCUGGAGCGGUCCCACUGACCCUCCAGCAGACGACGAAGGCUGGAGCGGUCCCACGGACCCUCCAGCGACGACAAAGGCUGGGGCGGUCCCACGGACCCUCCCCCCAGCGAAGGCGGAUGAAGGCAGACGAAGCUGAUGGAGGCUGGAGCGGUCCCACGGACCCUCCAGCAGACGACGAAGGCUGGUGCGGUCCCCCGGACCCUCCAGCAGAGGCGGAUGAAGGCUGGAGCGGUCCCUCGGACGCUCCAGCGAAGGCGGAUGAGCAGCUCACUAGCUGCACACACGGAC